GUUUCCACCCAUCUUCCUUUCCCCUUCAUUUCUAAAUCUAGCGUUUAUAAAUUUCUUGUCUUGGAAUAGUCUACCACACGCUCACAAAAUAUACAUAUCUUGUAUUUUGCUCUCACUAAUUACCUUGUUCAAACUCAUUUGCACAAGUGUCGUCCCUUACCACUUAUCAUGGCUUCUGCUUCUUCAUCAACCCGUCCCUGCAAAUAUGAUGUUUUUAUUAGUUUUAGAGGCAAAGAUGUCCGUCUUGGUUUUCUCUCUCAUCUCUGUACUGCUUUGCAGCAAAAACAAAUCAAUGCUUUCUUGGAUGAAGAACUUCAUAAAGGAGAAGAGAUCUCAUCAGCUCUCUUAAAAAUAAUUGAAGAAUCCAUUGUCUCAAUUGUCAUUUUCUCUGAAAAUUAUGCAAAUUCUCCAUGGUGCUUGGAUGAGCUUGUGAAGAUACUCGAAUGCAAGGAAACUUUAGGACAAAUGGUCCUACCAGUUUUUUAUGAAGUAGAUCCAACUGACGUUCAAGAGCUGACAGGGAAUUUCGGAAAGGCAUUUGAUAUUGCUGAGCGUGGAGAACGAGGCAGUUUACAAAAGGUGGACAAAUGGAGGCGUGCUUUGAGGGAAUUAAGCAGCUUAUCAGGAUGGGAUUCGCGGAAUAUCAAGCAUGAGUCCAAAUUAGUUGAGGAAAUCGUCAAUGAUGUUUUGAAGAAAUUUAGUAGUAUGUCUUCAAGUGAUGAUUCUUACGAUCGUAACUUGGUUGGAAUUGAAUCACGUGUGAAAAAAGUGGAACAAUUGUUAAAUGAUAAGACAGUUGUAGGAAUUUGGGGGAUGCCAGGCAUUGGUAAAACAACUAUUGC
rnacentral:misc_RNA from 1 species